UACGUAGGGACCAAGCGUUGUUCGGAUUUACUGGGCGUAAAGGGCGCGUAGGCGGCGCGGUAAGUCACUUGUGAAAUCUCUGAGCUUAACUCAGAACGGCCAAGUGAUACUGCAGUGCUAGAGUGUGGAAGGGGCAAUCGGAAUUCUUGGUGUAGCGGUGAAAUGCGUAGAUAUCAAGAGGAACACCUGAGGUGAAGACGGGUUGCUGGGCCAACACUGACGUUGAGGCGCGAAAGCCAGGGGAGCAAACGGG
rnacentral:rRNA from 1 species